UCCCCAGUUCUCGAGUACAACAACCAUGACCACGACCACGACUGCAACCUCGACCUUGACCUUGACCACGACCACGACCACGACCAGAACCCCAGCUUCCAGUGGAAGGGAGAAGAACCCUGGCUGACAUCCCCAGGGUAUUUAAUCAGAUCUCCAAUCAAGGCAGACGCACAGGGGUAUUAAUGAUGUUCAAUGAAGAAUGUGUAACCUACUCUAAAAGGUGAUUAAAUGGUUUUACCAGGGACACAUGAAGAUAUGUUUACACCAGUGUUCAUAACAGCACCAUGCACAGAGCCAAAAGGUGGAAACCACAUAAGUGUUCAUCAGUGGAAGAACUGAUCAACAAAAUGUGGUAUAUACCUACAGUGGAAUAUUAUUCAGCCUUGAAAAGGAAGGAAAUCUGACACAUGCUGCAACGUAGUUGAACCUGGAGGACAUCAUGCUAAGUCAAAUAAGCUAGACAUGAAAGGACAAAUAUUGUAUCAUUGCACUUACAUGAGGUACCUAAAAUACUGAAAUUAUUAGAGAAAUAAAACAAGGGAUACCAGCAGCCAGGGCAGGCUAUAAUGAGGUGUUACUGUUUAAUGGGUAGAGUACUAGUCUGUGAUGAUGAAAACGUUCUGGAGAUAGAAGGUGUUGAUGGUUGUACAACGAUGGGAAUGUCCUUAAAGCAGCUAAACUAUACACUUAAAAUGGUGAAAAUUGUAAUUUAUACAUGUAUACUAUACCAAAACAAAAAUAAUUAAAAGUUUAAUGGAAGAAAAAGUUGCAUGGCUAUUUAUAAAGGCUGUAUUUUCAUUGUGAAAUUUAGCCUUUAGUAUUAUAAAGAGUCCUUCUAUGUCCCUUUGGUCUACAUUUGUUUGAUAUUAAGAUCUACCACCUCUGUUUCCUUUUGCUUUUGCAUUU
rnacentral:lncRNA from 1 species